rnacentral:rRNA from 1 species
GCGUAACGCGUAUGCAACCUACCCACAACUGGGGGAUAGCCCGGAGAAAUCCGGAUUAAUACCCCAUAAUGCAGGGGUUCCGCAUGGAACUAUUUGCUAAAGAUUUAUUGGUUGUGGAUGGACAUGCGUCUGAUUAGUUAGUUGGUGAGGUAACGGCUCACCAAGACGAUGAUCAGUAGGGGGUCUGAGAGGAUGAUCCCCCACACUGGUACUGAGAUACGGACCAG